UACGUAGGUGGCAAGCGUUGUCCGGGAUUAUUGGGCGUAAAGGGCUCGCAGGCGGUUCCUUAAGUCUGAUGUGAAAGCCCCCGGCUCAACCGGGGAGGGUCAUUGGAAACUGGGGAACUUGAGUGCAGAAGAGGAGAGUGGAAUUCCACGUGUAGCGGUGAAAUGCGUAGAGAUGUGGAGGAACACCAGUGGCGAAGGCGACUCUCUGGUCUGUAACUGACGCUGAGGAGCGAAAGCGUGGGGAGCGAACAGG
rnacentral:rRNA from 1 species